GUGACGCUGGUACCCCAGGGCUUGGACCUGACGCAGGGAGAUAGAGCGGGAGAUACAGAGGAAAAUGAAAGAACAAGAAUGGCCUUGUCAGCUCCUUGGUUCCUACCAGAGAGACACGGCAUCCUUCCCCUACUGCCUUGGGCACAAGGCUCUGGAGUGAAGAGGAAGGAGGCAGGAGGGAGUCAGGGGCACUCACCUCUUACAGCCUGGAAGAUCAUUAGCAAUAGCAGGUGGCAGUUGUGGCGCUGGCACCAAGUCCUCCGGACCCAACUGAGACAGGACUCAUGGCAUCAAGAACUUACAUCACGGCAGUCAUUGUCUCCAUCUUCUUCAUGGUUAUCCUGUCCUGCUCAAGUGCUCCAGGUGAAAGUUGGCCAGAAGACCCCUGUCUCCAGAGGCAGUUUCCAGAUCUCAAAAGACCCAAAGCCUGGGGUUUCUUCAGCGG
rnacentral:lncRNA from 1 species